UUCGUGUAUCCCGUAGAUGCAUGUCUAUCUUGAUGUAGCAAGCUGUGUGAAGCGGCAAGUCACUUGAGGGCUGGAUCGUGUCUGUAGAUGCAAGCUUAUUUGUUAGCUUUUUAAUCUUGAUGCAGCAUGCUGUGUGAAGCGGCAAGGCACUUGACGGCUGGAUCGUCAGUGUGUGUAGCUGUUGUAUUUUACAGUCCUACCAAAUCGAUCGGUCAUGUUACGCUCUCCCAAUCUUCUUCCUUGCCACACGCCCAUAUUUUUCCUGUGACAUAUUCGUUUUUUAACAGCUAAUCUGUUUCUUUGCAUCUCCCCUUCAUGUAUAUAGCGUACUCAUGCCCUAUGAACUCAUCGCUCUGACCACAAUAAGUAUAGCUCGAUUCACCAGCGAAGCAAGAUGUGGUGAGGUACAGAAAUGAGUUGCAGAUUUCUAUGCACAAGAGCAAGGUCAAGCUCCAGGUUCGGUCGUGGAACAUCUGAAUGAGAUUUCUGUUCAUCUGUCCAAAUAUACUUCAAUGAUUCCAUGAGUGUUGAUUCAGAGUGCUGUUAACGAUGGAGCAUUUGGAAUUUAUUCCUAUUCACACGUAGGUGUCUUGACCCUAAUGUAUAUUUAAUCUGCUCUUCUGUCAACGUACACGUACGUUUGAAGGUUUGGUGCUAGCAAAAUUCAAAUAAUUUACCUCUUUUGUUAUUAACCAGUAUGAUAGAUUUUAUAACAUUUUAUAACCGAAAUUGUUGAUUUUCUUUUUUGCAUGAAACUUUGAAAACAAUAUGACCAAAUCUCCUUAAUACAGUUAACCAUGGGAGGAGUUCACUGAUAGUAGAUGGCAGACAUAAUAUUUUAAUUUCAUACAUCACAGCUGCAGGAUAACAUGCUAAAAUGCUAAGGAGGAUGAGUAAGAGUACAUGGCUUUACAUUACCAAAUGGAUUAUUAUAGAUGUUUUCUGUCAUUUUGUAGACUUGCUCUAAGUUAUGUGGGCUUCUGGCUACAGUUUAUUGUUCACAAAACAUGAAAAAACAAAAUCGAGGAGGGUAUUUGCAUAUAGCAGUAGCUCCAGCAUCUGCAAUACUGUGUGCUUUUCCUUCUUUUAUCUUAAGAUUACUGAAUCAGCCGAUCCUUCAUUGUUGUGUGUGAUGUGUACAAUUGUAGGAUGCUAUUAAAAGAAAUUAUGAUUAAUGUAAGACGUACAUGGUGUUUCAUUCGCAUUUUAUACACUACAUUUGAUAUCUUUUAGACGUACAUGUUGCACUUCUGAGUUUCAAUAUCCGUCGGUCUGUUGUAAAGUGAAUGAACCUAUUUUUAUAUAGAAAUCACAUCCAACUAUAGAAACAUUCUCUUUAGUUUGGUCAACCCCCCAUGCUUAGUUCUACCUCUUAUUGUCUAGACAAGUACUUAUAUUGAUAACAAUCUUAGUGAAAUGAUAGUGCCGAUAAAUCUUUAGAGAACAACUGAACUUAAGAAAAAUGUAUGCUACUUUUGAUCCUACAUACUAAUUAUAGUACUAUGUUUAUGGAGAGUAUAGUGCGAGUUACUCCAUGUAAGAAAAAGUAAUAUGUCUUCUGGGCAUUCAGAAAGAAAUAAAUGUUAUCUAAAUGUGUAAUCUGAUAAUUACAUAACUAGCCCGUGCUGGUGCCCGUGCUGGUGCGCGGGUUGACGACUAGUAAUAUUAAUAGUUAUUAUUAUGUGGUGACCUGGACAUGUGCCCAGAUCCAUAUAUGCAUGUUUGGUACCUGUAUAGAUCUACAAAGGGAACAACAUCUGACACUGCCUGUCCUCCGAUUAAUUAUAAAUAAUAUUACUACAUAUUGUUACUAUCUGGCACAGUAAUUUUUAGAUUUUUCUUCUCAAACACGAAUACAAGUACAUGGCAGUUUGUAUUAGAAUUUCGUCGAUUCGUCAUGCUUCCCUAACUACCAUCAGGGAGUGGAUCAAGAUGAUGCGCUAUACAUGCAUGUUGCUAUGCUAUUUAUGUGGGUGGGAGUUGAUCAUUCAGUAAUCAACAAUGUCGACUCAUGCAUUGUGUUUUUCUGUUACUACUUGUAUUUAUUCCUGGUAUAUGCCUUUCUCGCAAUUGUGUAUCAAGUUGGUAUGCUGAACAUUGACGGAUUCUACGAUCAACUAGUGCAUCAUACUUGUUUUCCUUCAAAGUUUUCCUGAAUAUUAUUAUUUUUGUGUGCAACUUAUCUUAGAGUGGCCAUGUAUGUCAGUAUACUCAAGUAACUGAAUGUAUUCACGUUAACUUUGUUAAGUACUAGUAGAUUCAGAAAUUUAGUUCAUAGAAUUAUUGGUAGGAGCAGUUAACGAGUCAAACAAAAAUAUCCAUAUGCAAAUGUCGGUCUAUGUUUGAUUCAAUUUGGUUUGCUCUGCUACUAAAGCUCCUAUCUGGUCUAAUGUUUUUUGUUUUGUCUCUUUUUCUGUUGCUAGAAAAGUGAUGAGAAGAUGUCGUUCUUGCUAUAUUCCUAUGUAAGGAAAUGUAUUUAUGAGAUGAUUUAUUGUGAUAUGUAAACCUGAGAGAUGUAUUAUGUGAUGUUAUAUGAUGGAUGAUUUUAAUU